rnacentral:rRNA from 1 species
GACGAACGCUGGCGGCGUGCUUAACACAUGCAAGUCGAACGGAAAGGCCCUGCUUGCAGGGUACUCGCGUGGCGAACGGGUGAGUAACACAUGGGUGAUCUGCCCUGCACUUCGGGAUAAGCCUGGUAAACUGGGUCUAAUACCGGAUAGGAGCCAUUUUUAGUCUGAUGGUUGGAAAGUUUUUUCUGUGUAGGAUGAGCUCGCGGCGUAUCAGCUUGUUGGUGGGGUAAUGGCCUACCAAGGCGGCGACGGGUAGCCGGCCUGGGAGGGUGGACGGCCACACUGGCACCGAGAGACGGCCCAGACUCCGAAGGGAGGCAGCAGUGGGGAAGAUUGCACAAUGGGCGCAAGCCUGAUGCAGCGACGCCGCGUGGGGGAUGACGGCCUUCGGGUUGUAAACUCCUUUCGCAAGGGACGAAGCGUUUUGUGACGGUACCUAGAUAAGAAGCACCGGCUAACUACGUG